GGAGGAGAUCCCUCAGGAGACCAUCCGCCACCUCAUCAGGAGCAUGCACCGGCAUUGUAGGGAGGUCAUACAGGCCUGUGGAGGCCACACACACUACUGAGCCUCAUUUUGACUUGUUUUAAGGACAUUACAUCAAAGUUGGAUCAGCCUGCAGUGUGUUUUUCCACUUUAAUUUUGAGUGUGACUCCAAAUCCAGACCUCCAUGGGUUGAGAAAUUUUAUUUCCAUUUUUUAAUUUUUGUGUGAUUUUGUUGUCAGCACAUUCAACUAUAUAAAGAACAAUGUAU